rnacentral:lncRNA from 1 species
GCGCGGCCUUCUAAUGCACAGGGCCUGACAUCGACUUCCGCGCACGGAUCGAACCUUCGAUCGCGCCGAUUUGCAUAGCGGGCCCGCGCCCCGCCGCGCCCGACUCCACGCCGAGACCGCGCAGGCGAGGCCGGGCGCUCCCGGGCUCUGCCUUCCUCCCUCGGUGCCCGGGGGACCGGGCUGCUCACGGCCGCAGACGUGUGCGCGGGCGAGCGCGGAACGCGGCGGGAGACGAUCUCCGCCGGCACCGCGAAAGGAGCCGAGGGCGCCCAGGGCCCCGCCGCGGACCGCGCGGAGGACAGGUACCACCUGCGCGGCGCCGCGGCCCGCUCCCCGCGGGCAGGGGUGGGCACCGCAGGGCGAGGACCCGGGCUGCGAACCGCGCUCCCGCUCCCGGCUCCUGCGCGAAACGGAGCACACUGACCCCGCUUCCCUCCCUCCUGGAGGCGCAUCCUGGACGCGACGCGCCCUCGGGCCACAGCAAAUUAUUGCUCAUUUGAUACCAAGAAUUCUAUUGACCACGGCUUUCGUUGGAGAGCGAAUUCUAACUACUGGCUGCUCUGUUGUCAGCUAGAGCUGAGGCUGGGAACCUUCCACAAGGCUGUGACGGCACACAGAGUCCUCUGCUCCAGGAAGUGCAGAGAUAACGCUGGUGUGUGUUGUCUGCCUGCACCCAAAGCGAUGGUGUUCCUGGAAUGCAAGCACCGCCCGCCAUGCUUGGAGCAUCCUGCCGCAGAGAGAACACUUUCUCCUGGUCUCAGCCCAGACUGACAGCCUGGGGGCCUCGUAGGACACUCGGCCAGAUGACACACACACAAGGGCACCCAGAACCUGUGUCGUGGGCUCCCGGGCAGCUGUGGAUCCAGGAGGCAGGCUGAGCAAGCCAGCAACACUCGCUGCCACUUGUCCAGAAAGCAAGAAAGCGGCAAUAUCCUCAGUGUUAUUUAAGGGAAAAAGACUGGGACCUGCACUGGAGUUUAAAAGUUAGGGGCGGGCUGCUCCCCAGCAUUUCUUUGGAAGGAGGCAGAACUGAGAGCUAUGCAGCUGGCUUGGCGCUUCAGCCCAUAGGAGAGGAGGAAAUUCUCCUCCUCCUCGCUGCACCUUGGAGCAGGUCCUCUGGCAGAGCUCUCGGCUCCCCAGCACCCCGUCAGCCUCCUGCCUCUCCUGCCAGGCCAAUGGAACCAGCAGAACUCGAUAGUAAAUUAUUUUGUUCAGCCCUCUGUCUUUUUAUGAAAAUAAAAGCCAACACUUUGUCAUUUUUAAUCACGUAAGCAGAC